rnacentral:misc_RNA from 1 species
UCUCCGUUGGUGAACCAGCGGAGGGAUCAUUACAGGACUCGCAAGGCUCCCGUAACCACUGUGAACUUACCUAUAUUCGUUGCCUCGGCGGGUGCCCUAGACUCAUAUCUAGGGCAUUCAACCCGCCGGUGGCCUACAACUCUGUCUCGCGCGUUGGCAUCUCCGAGUCAUUUUAAACGAGUCAAAACUUUCAACAACGGAUCUCUUGGUUCUG